CCUUAAGCAGUGAAUAUAAUGGCUAGAAGAAUUGUACUGUAAAGUGCAGAUGAAAUUAACACGUGUCAGGAGCUCUAGUAAACCAGGAGGUAUUUUGAAACGACCUUUUUAUUAAAUAAUGCCAUCUAUGACAUGACCUUUACAGGUACCCAUGAUGAUAAAUUUGUUUUAAGUACAGAGGACAUUCUUAUGGGGCUCCCAAGACUGUCCUAUAGAUUUUAAAUGAAACAUAUCAGUAUUACUAAGUCUUUGUUUCUUAGUCUUCAAGGGUAGUGAAGCCCUUUAUAUCCUUGACUGCUGACCCAUAUAAUCCCACCGCUGCCCCAAUAACACACUGUAGUCUCCCCUAGGUGACCUUGCGUCAUACUCCUUCCUUUUUGAUUACGCUGUCCAGGGAAAACCACCAGCUGUGACAAUAAGAAAACACAAAGAGAAAC